UGGGGAAUAUUGGACAAUGGGCGCCAGCCUGAUCCAGCCAUGCCGCGUGAGUGAUGAAGGCCCUAGGGUUGUAAAGCUCUUUCACCGGUGAAGAUAAUGACGGUAACCGGAGAAGAAGCCCCGGCUAACUUCGUGCCAGCAGCCGCGGUUAUACGUAGUGGGCUAGCGUUGUUCGGAUUUACUGGUCGGAAAGCGCACGUAGGAGGACUAUUAAGUCAGGGGUGAAAUCCCGGGGCUCAAACCCGGAACUGCCUUUGAGACUGGUAGCUGUGAGGUCGAGGGGGGGGAGAGGAAUUCCGGGAGCAGAGGGGAAUAUAGUAGCUAAUAGGAGGAAUAACAGUGGCGAAGGCGGAUCACUGGCACGAUACUGACGGUGAGGUGCGAAAGCGUGGGGAGUAAACAGG
rnacentral:rRNA from 1 species